UACGGAGGAUCCAAGCGUUAUCCGGAAUCAUUGGGUUUAAAGGGUCCGUAGGCGGUUUGGUAAGUCAGUGGUGAAAGCCCAUCGCUCAACGGUGGAAUGGCCAUUGAUACUGCCAGACUUGAAUUAUUAGGAAGUAACUAGAAUAUGUAGUGUAGCGGUGAAAUGCUUAGAGAUUACAUGGAAUACCAAUUGCGAAGGCAGGUUACUACUAAUGGAUUGACGCUGAUGGACGAAAGCGUGGGUAGCGAACAGG
rnacentral:rRNA from 1 species